rnacentral:rRNA from 1 species
GUGCCAGCCGCCGCGGUAAUACCGGCAGCCCGAGUGAUGGCCGAUCUUAUUGGGCCUAAAGCGUCCGUAGCUGGCUGCGCAAGUCCGUCGGGAAAUCCACGUGCUUAACACGUGGGCGUCCGGUAGAAACUGGCCGGCUUGGAACCGGAAGGCUCAGAGAGUACGUCCGGGGUAGGAGUGAAAUCCCGUAAUCCCGGACGGACUACCGAUGGCGAAAGCACUCUGAGAAGACGGCUUCGACAGUGAGGGACGAAAGCUCGGGUCUCAAACCGGAUUAGAAACCCUUGUAGUCC